GCCAUGGCCGCGGAUUAGUUUGAUCCUGGCUCAGAGUGAACGCUGGCGGCAGGCCUAAUACAUGCAAGUCGAACGGCAGCACAGUGGAGCUUGCUCCAUGGGUGGCGAGUGGCGGACGGGUGAGGAAUACAUGGGAAUCUGCCCAGUCGUGGGGGAUAACGUAUGGAAACGUACGCUAAUACCGCAUGCGCCCUUCGGGGGAAAGUCGGGGACCGCAAGGCCUGACGCGAUUGGAUGAGCCCAUGUUCGAUUAGCUAGUUGGCGGGGUAACGGCCCACCAAGGCGACGAUCGAUAGCUGGUCUGAGAGGAUGAUCAGCCACACUGGAACUGAGACACGGUCCAGACUCCUACGGGAGGCAGCAGUAGGGAAUAUUGGACAAUGGGCGCAAGCCUGAUCCAGCCAUGCCGCGUGAGUGAAGAAGGCCCUCGGGUUGUAAAGCUCUUUUGUUGGGGAAGAAAAGCAGUUGGUUAAUACCCGAUUGUUCUGACGGUACCCAAAGAAUAAGCACCGGCUAACUUCGUGCCAGCAGCCGCGGUAAUACGAAGGGUGCAAGCGUUACUCGGAAUUACUGGGCGUAAAGCGUGCGUAGGUGGUUGUUUAAGUCUGAUGUGAAAGCCCUGGGCUCAACCUGGGAAUGGCAUUGGAUACUGGAUAGCUAGAGUGCGGUAGAGGGUAGUGGAAUUCCCGGUGUAGCAGUGAAAUGCGUAGAGAUCGGGAGGAACAUCCGUGGCGAAGGCGACUACCUGGGCCAGCACUGACACUGAGGCACGAAAGCGUGGGGAGCAAACAGGAUUAGAUACCCUGGUAGUCC
rnacentral:rRNA from 1 species